rnacentral:rRNA from 1 species
UUCGAGAGCAAAAUGGAGAGUUUGAUCCUGGCUCAGGAUGAACGCUGGCGGUCUGCUUAACACAUGCAAGUCGAACGAAUCCUUUCGGGGAUUAGUGGCGGACGGGUGAGUAACGCGUGAGAAUCUACCAAAAGG